rnacentral:rRNA from 1 species
UACGUAGGGUGCAAGCGUUGUCCGGAAUUAUUGGGCGUAAAGAGCUCGUAGGCGGUCUGUCGCGUCGAAUGUGAAAACCCGGGGCUCAACCCCGGGCCUGCAUUCGAUACGGGCAGACUAGAGUUCGGUAGGGGAGUCUGGAAUUCCUGGUGUAGCGGUGAAAUGCGCAGAUAUCAGGAGGAACACCGGUGGCGAAGGCGGGUCUCUGGGCAACAACUGACGCUGAGGAGCGAAAGCGUGGGGAGCGAGCAGG